rnacentral:sRNA from 1 species
AUGACUAUUCCGAGGCUGGAAUUGAUGGCUGUUUUGAUAGGUGUUAGGUGUUUAGCAUUCGUUAAAGGGGAAUUAAAUGUACCCAUUGAAACGAUAUAUCUUUGGACAGACUCUCAGUGUGUUUUAAAGUGGAUUUCGACAAAAAAGGAUCUUGGUGUAUUUGUGAAAAAUCGAAUAACAGAAAUUAAAAUUCAUAAAGAUGUUAAAUUCUUGUAUGUUUCCACCAAAGAAAAUCCAGCAGACGUUGCAACAAGAGGAACUUCGACUAGACUGCUCUGUGACAAUAGUCUGUGGUGGCAUGGUCCUGAGUGGCUUUUGAGCGACAUUCAUCAGUGGAAAAUAUUCACCUGUGAAGAUGUGUUAGCUAAACAAGAAUAUAAAUGUGAGUUGAAAGUAGGAAAGAAAACAACAGAAAGUAGUGCGUUGCUCUUGUACCAAAGAAAUUGAAGGAAAUCAGAUUGAAACACCGUAUGGAAUACAGUGCAAAAAUUUCUCAUCGUAUUACAAACUUAUACGAGUGACUGCAUGGGUUGAGCGAUUCAUUUCACGAAUUAAGAAAAUUUCAGUUAAGACUAGUAAAAUUUUGACAUGCGAGGAACUGAAAAUUGCAGAAGAAAAAUGGAUCAAAUUUGUACAAAGGAGGAAUUAUUCAGAUAUUUUUAGUGCAAUAUAUGAAAACAAACCAAACAACCUACAGAAUCAACUUGGGCUUUUUAUAUCUGAUGAUGGUUUUCUACGUUGUAAAGGGAGAUUCGAAAAUGCAGAUUUGAGUGAAGCAGCUAGAAUACCGAUUCUUCUUCCGCGUGGGGAGGACUUCACGCGUUUGAUCAUUGAAAGAAUACACAAAGACCUCUUUCAUAGUGGUGUAUCACAAACUCUCAGUAAAUUAAGACAUAAGUUUUGGAUCCCACAAGGUCGUUCCACAGUUAGACAAGUUUUACGACAUUGCUUAGUGUGUCGAAGGUUUGAAGGUGGACAUUACGGAAUGCCUAAGAUGCCCCCAUUUCCAAGAUCUAGAGUAUCACAAUCCAUUCCGUUUGCAAGUACUGGCUUAGAUUAUCUUGGACCGAUUUAUGUAAAAUAUGAUGGCGAGAACAAGAAAAGAUGGGUAUGUUUGUUUACCUGUUUUGUUACACGUGCUAUACAUUUAGAAUUGUUAAAUGAUAUGACAACUGAAGAAUUUUUGUACGCAUUUAGAAGAUUCGUAUCAAUUCGAGGUGCUCCAUGCAAUAUUCUAAGUGAUAAUGCAGCCCAGUUCAAGUUGGGGAGUGCAACAUUAGAUUUAGUUUGGAAGAAAGUGAUUAAAUGUGAUGAUGUUCAAAACUAUGUGUCUAAUGCUGGCAUUCGAUGGACCUUUAUAACGGAAUUAGCGCCAUGGAUGGGAGGUUUUUACGAAAGGCUUGUUGGUGUGGUAAAACGUUCUUUGCGAAAAGUUCUGAAAGGAAGGUUAGUCAGCGACGUUCGUUCAACUACUUACAGUUAUUAA